UUAUGACAAGUCUUUGUCCUAAGUCGUGUUCUCGAAGCUCUCUUAACUUAGGAUAUAUCACAUUUUUCGUCCUAACUUUAGGACACCUAAUUAGGUGUCUUCAGAUAUCAUAUCUUCAUCCUAACUUUUUGCAUGCUUUUUUCUCAAUUUUUUACGUGAAGAUGAACAUGAAAUGAAACGCACCAUCGGUUAUUAACUCGUAUACAGAAAUUGUGCAUGAUUUUAAACUUUGAACUUCGUGUUUUACGAUACGAUGACACUACGAAUUCAUCAUUCUCAGGGCCGUAACUAGGGUUCGAAUUCAGGGGAGGCAGGGUUUGGGGCCGCCGAUUGAGCAUAUUUUUUUUUUUCAGUCAUUGGCUAAAAAUGACCUGUUUCCCUUCGAUUUCCUUACUUUAGGAAACAUCAGUAUUGCUUGAACCUGGAAGCAACUUUUAUGCAAAAACAAGCUGAGAUUGCUGUUCGGGUCGAGCCAAGGCUCCGUCUUGAAGGC
rnacentral:lncRNA from 1 species